AAAAAACCUCAUUGUAUAUGCCAGCCCUUUUAAAGAUAAUUUUCUAUAGUUUUUUUUGAGACCAGUGACUGCCAUGUUUAUUUAUGAUGUUAAAUUAUUACUCAAACUUUAUGUUUACUUUGUGUAUGCUGACUGUGUCUUUCCAAUGUAUUGGUUUCCUAGCGUUUUGUAAUUAGCUUCUCCUCUUUCGAACUUUGGAGGGACAUGCGCAGUUAAAGACUUGUAUGACCUUCUCCGCUACUGUUUAUAUUAAACAUGAUCUUUGUCAUCUCUUUGUGCCACUGCUUGUGAGAUAAAUGUAAAAUGAUAGAACACAAAUAUACUUAGGUCUUGCUGCCUGUUACUUGCCGACAUCUUUAGUAAUAAAUUUCUAAGACAAAUG
rnacentral:misc_RNA from 1 species